UACGUAGGGGCCUAGCGUUGUCCGGAAUUAUUGGGCGUAAAGAGCUCGUAGGCGGUUCGGCAAGUCGGAUGUGAAAUCUCCACGCUCAACGUGGAGGGGCCAUUCGAAACUGCCGUGACUCGAGUCCGGUAGGGGAGUGUGGAAUUCCCGGUGUAGCGGUGAAAUGCGCAGAUAUCGGGAGGAACACCCGUGGCGAAGGCGGUUCUCUGGGACGGUACUGACGCUGAGACGCGAAAGCGUGGGGAGCGAACAGG
rnacentral:rRNA from 1 species